rnacentral:rRNA from 1 species
CCUACGGGCGGCAGCAGUGAGGAAUAUUGGUCAAUGGACGAGAGUCUGAACCAGCCAAGUAGCGUGAAGGAUGACUGCCCUAUGGGUUGUAAACGUCUUUUAUAAAGGAAUAAAACGAGGCACGUGUGCCUUUGGGAAUGUACGUUAUGAAGAAGGAACGGCUAACUCCGUGCCAGCAGCCGCGGUAAUACGGAGGAUCCGAGCGUUAUCCGGCUGUAUUGGGUUUAAAGGGAGCGUAGAGGGGUUGUUAAGUCAGUUGUGACAGUUUGCGGCGAAACCGUAAAAUUGCAAUUGAUACGGGCAGUCUUGAGUACCGUUGAGGUAGGCGGACUUCGUGGUGUAGCGGUUACAUGCUUAGAUAUCAC